GGACCUUGGAGUGCGUGCAGCAGUAAGGGAAGCCAUGCUCCGUUUUAAGAAGUACCUUGAUCCAUGUGAUCUGUGCUUUGAAAAGAUACCGCUAACUGCUCUGAGAAAAACUGGGUUGGAGGGGCAUCGAAAGAGAAAGCCAAGAAACUAUUCGCCAGUUGAACAGUGGAAAAGGCAGUGGGAUAGACAGAGCUGAACACAAUUCCAAAUUCAUUUGUUUUUAACGCCACAGUCUGAAAACUAUGGAGAAAUGAAUGUUUCAGAACCCACUUUUCAGUUUAUAUUCCUACGGUGGCCCCUCCUCUUCUCAAAUAUCUAAAACGUACCAUGCAUUUCUAAUUAAUGCUUUUCGCCUUCCAGAUUUUGUUCCUAAGAGAAAUCCCCCUAUUUUAAUUGUAGUUCACAUUAUAAGUCAUGCACAUUUUUAAACUAGAUUGUCAUUUAUGGAGUUGCCACUCUUGUGGGUGAAAAUGGGUCAAGUGUUGGCCAUUUCAUGUGGUUCAACCAACAGAUUCAGAUGUUGACUCUUCUCAUUGAAACAUUCCUCUCCCCUCAAUGUGGUCUUCGGUAAGAAGACACUCUCCUUGUCUAUGGAUAAAUAAAUGAAGGAUCCAAAUGGCACUGCCGUGAUGAAAGAUGCAGUACGGCUGUUGCUUGGUCCUUAGACACAUAGAGCAUCCUUUCUGGAUAACCCAGGAUAAAGGGGGGAAUGAAAUGGCUACUUUAUUGAAAAAGCCCACCUUUCCACUGUAGUCAGUCAAAUGCUAUUAUCCUUUUAUUACUCUGUAAUUUUGAGGGCAAGUUCAGUGAAUAACUGUAGAGGCUAUUAAGAGCUGUCAUGGAAAAUGGAUCUGUCUUUAAAUGGAAGGUAGAAACAUUACUGCAAGAACAGCACUGCUUCCACGUAGCUAAUUCUCCUCUCCGAGCUCUUUAAAACGAUGUUUAUUGUUUCCCACUCCGUCUCCCCAGACCCUUCUCACCCGCAUAAUUGUGAUCCUGCCUUUUUUCCUCUCAUCAGGAAUAAAAUUUAUGGAAGACGCAUGGCCCCUGAGAACCAAUCCCGUUUUGUGUUAGUUUCGCGUUAGUGUCUACACUAAUAGUACACAACGAAGGUCAACAGUAACUUCCAGAAAACAGGAUUAAAUCCACCCUGCUCUCUAAAGGGUAGAGGUUCCAGAGAGGGCUUCUGCCAUUCCUCUUCUCUUCUGGCUUCUCCUGGGCUGAUGAGAGGGAGACUGUGGCUGGUGGAGGCCGUGGUAAUGAUAGAAAGAACUGGGGAUUUCAGAAUAUCUCUGUUCUAUUUUUCAAUGGGUUCCGCAACGAAUUACCGCACAUGUAGAAUCUUAAAACAACAGAAACUUGUGCUGUCACAGUUCUGGGUGCCAGAAAUCCAAAAUCAAGGUGUCUCCAGGGACAUGCUCCCUCCAAGGCUCUAGGGGACAAGCUCUCCUUCUUUCUUCCAGCUUCCAGUGGCUCCAGGUGGGGCUUGGCACAUGACUGCUUCAACUCCCUUGUUUUCCUUCCUGAGUCUCAGUGGGUCCUUUUCUGCCUCUUCAUACAACAUCCUCAUUGGAUUUGGCGUUUACUAUAAUGGAGGAUUUUCUUAACUUCAUCCCUAACUUAAUUUCAUCUGCAAAACCCCUAUUUCCGAAUAAGGUCUCGUCCUGAGGUUUCUGGUGAACCUGAACUGGUGGUGGUGGUGAUGAUGAUGGGGACGCAGCUUCUUCCCUGAUGUAGUCAUGGACUCAGAACACAAAGCUAAGACAUGCGGGUUGGCAGUUUUAUUGUCUCAUCCCAGCAUUAUCAGCUUUUAUCAACAAUAGGACUAACCUAUUCUCAAUGCUUUCCCUCUAAGAAUAAAAUGGAGUAAAGAGAAUUAAUUCACACGAUUGUCAGAAGAUCAAAUUACCAAAAAAUCUCUCUACAUGUUUAGUAAGAGAAGAGAAUUCAGCAAGGAAGAAUUUUUAUCUAAUUGUAAAAUGAUACAUUUGCUCAAUGGAACUCGUGUGAUGGAGACAUUGAAAGAAAUUCAUCUCCAUAUGUAAUUCACUUUUAUGACUUUUUCCCUUAACUGGGGUUGGUGUAUUGGUUCUUAGGCCUAGAAUUAGGUUCUAGCUUGAGGAAUAUUUGCCUUUUCUAUAUUUGUGUCAAGUUCUCUUCUUUCAGUUUAUUUCUAUUAUCGAUUUUUGUUCUGUCUCAGUUCUGGUAACCAUGGUCCUAUUUGGUUUUUACCGUGGAACAAGAACUCUGCCAGAUUCCUAUCCAUUAUUUACUUAUUGGCCACUCCUAGGAUACGUGGAAAUUCCUGCAUCAGGGAUGGAAACUGAGCCACAGCAGUGACAAUGCCAGACCCUUAACCCACUAGGCCACCAGGGAACUCCUCCCAUCCAUUAUUUUAUGUAGUCUGCAUGACAACAACCCUUUGGAGUAGGUGUAAUUACCCCUAUUUAUCAGAUGAUGGAACCGAAGGGUAAAUGACUUGCUCAAGGAUAUGUAGGGUAUCAGCAAAAGAACUGGUUUUCCAAUCCAAGUCGGCCUGGUUCCAGGGUAUAAGCUUUUGACCACUGCCCAGGGCUUCUCUGGAGAAUGUCCACCUUGAGUUUCAGAGGAGGUCUGUAUUUAUCUGCUAUUAACCCAGUGUCACCUGGAGGCUAUGUUCCUGUCCCAAGUUGUCUUGUUGGACCUCACUGUGUGUUUCCAGGGAGCUCACUCAGGAAGAGGGCUUCAGUUCUAUCAUACAGAGGUCGCGUUGUAUCUCCAGAUACCUGGCUGGCAGCUUCAAGCACUGGCAGCUGACAUUGAGUGACAGGCAGAGAUUAUUUGCCUUUGGGACAUCUUUCCCUUUUCGUCUUCUUCUGGAAGCUGUAUUUGUUUGAAGGAAGACUUAGCUCAGCAAGCAGGGCAGAUAGAGCAUCUUGCCAAGCUUGUGGGUGAUUGUCUCACACUCAGAUAACAUCUCAGAGCUGCCUUCCUGGCCACUGUAAAGAACGCAGCCGCCAGCUCCCCCUGCCCCGCCACCUCCUCCCACCCUCCCGCCCCUGCAUCACUCCUAUCUGCUUAGUCUGCUCCAUUUCUCCUCAUUGACUUUGGCACUACUCGAUACAUUUCACAUGCUCGUUCAUCCCUGUAUUCUCUGCCCAUCGCCAGACUGUAAGCUUCAUGAGAGUGAGAACUCUGCCUUUUCACCUCCUUCUUUCCAGUAUGUAGGAAAGGGCUUGGCACAGAUUCGCCAGGACUGUGUGAAUGAGUGGGUGAGCAAGUGAAUGAAGGGGUUAACGAGCUUGCCAUCACCACCAUUAAAUUCUUACCUACUUACCGUCUUCUUUUGCCGAUUUGGAGGAAAUUAGAGGACGUCAUGAGCCCUAAACACUGACAAAAUGUUGGUAUUAACUCAUCUAUUGGGCAGCAGUAUUCUCACCUGUUACAAUGACGUGGGCUGAAGGUCAUGAUGACUGUUGGGUGGGAUUCAACAAGAGAGCGAAAGUAGUUGGAAGACUGAGUGGGGAAGUAUGUUGCAAACAGCAGUUGUUAGAUAUAAAUAUAUGCUGCUUAUAAGAAGUAUAUUUAUGCUGCCAUACAUAUAUGUCCACACACACGUAUAUAUAUACUGUUUGUAAUAUAUAUUAAAUAUACAUGUUAUAAAAUAUAUAUUUAUCUUUUAAUUUCUUAUUUUCCCCUUUAUUAAAGGAAAACCAGUACAGAAGUAGUGUCAAAUUAUUUGUGUAUUAAUACAUGUCAACUCUUAGAAAAAAAAAUUGGGGAAAAAAUGUUAGACCCAUUAGAUAAAGUCCAGGCUGGGAAUAUUUACUUAAAUGCAAUUAUUGAUUCCUAUAAAACAUGAGCCUGUACGUGAUUUUAUUGAGAAAAAGACCAAACAAAGAAGGGUACCUCUUGCUGCUUGCUGUUAGUGGAUAUCAAGAGUCCAAGAGGCUGUGGAAUUCUAGUGGGAGACUGAACAUCAUGGUAGGAGAUGCAGACAUUUCUUUUCUCCCCCUAAUGCCUGAGUCUCUUGGUAGGGGAUGUGCUAAAUUUAAGGAGAGACUGGGAAGUGAGGAACGCAGGGGAAAAGUAGGACUUCUUUGGUUGAGAAGAGAGAGGAGGCAGGAGAGGAAAAUUCUAUUUUUUUUUUUUUUCUUUUUCCUUUGACUAGAAGGCUUCACUUUCCAAAUUGCCUUACACGAUUGAGUGGAGAUUAUUGAUAACCAGUUCUGAAAGCAGUAAUAGAGAAGGAGGGCGAAAGCAUGGGGGGUGGCCCGUGGAAGCCAAAAGAGGCAUUUACUUAGAGCUCAGCGCGGAGUCUCUGCUGCUGGUGAAUUUCUGUUCCAUUACGACUUCCUCCUUUUCAGUAAUGGAACUUAUAGAGACAAUGAAAAAGGUAAUAGAGCCAUCCAUAUCGUAUAUUCUGGAAACCCAGCUGAGGUGCUAAAGUAGUUCCUAAGGCUUACAAAGCACAUCAGAAUGGAUCAAGUUCACUGCCUUUCUGGGCGGUCUGGCAGGGAGUGGGGAGACACUGCCUGUGUGUUGAAGAACAGCUUAGGAACUUUGUGUGGCAUGCACACCCUUCACGUUUCUGGGAGGUGGGGGGGUGGGAAACCUGCUAAGCCAUUACUUACUAAUUUUUCCAUUAAAGUGAUCUUUCUGUGCCAUCUUGCAGUGAUAUGUGUUCAAAACAUGUUCUUAAAAAAUAACGUUUUAUUAGCUAACAUUUGGAACUUUUUUGUGUGCUUUAUUUUGACGGCUGUGGUUUGGGGGUUUUGUUUGCUUUUCUUUAUUUAAAGGUAGGGGUGCUAGUUCUCUUUGUCCUCUUCUUGUGCCUGUUGCAUGUGUCACUCAGGUCACACUCUUUUUAUGUAUUACUUCCAUGUACACCCUGUGGAAAGUCACCAGAACAUUGAACAUCACACUUCUCUGAGUCUCCUUGAAUUCAUUUUGUGAUUCCUUAGGUAAAAACUACGUCUCCUUUCUUCUGGGGGCAGGGCUCUGCUUUAUUACGGGUGGUGGGUUUGGUGAUUGAGGAUGAACUUGUACCAGCUUUCUUUUCUAUGUGCUGCAUCACCAAGUUUAUAAUAAUAUGGGCAAAUCGGGGUUCAUCUUAGUGCAGUGCCAAUAGAUGAGAAAUAAUUGAUCUCAGUAGAUAGCAGCAUAAUUUGGGAACAUCAGGGGCAUGGGAUGUUACGGAGAGACCAUCGGUUCCUUCAGCUCUAAAAACUAUCUUCUAAGCUAUGACUUCAGUAUUAAUUGAACUUGUCCUUUUUUCAGGGACAUAGUAGAAAGAUUUUAAAUGAUACAAUUACAACCAGUGUCACUCCAUAUAACGAAUGCCUCGCUACAUCAGAUUGAUUGUGAGUCGUGAUGACAAAUGCCAGCUACCUUCCGUCACUAGAGAUCUAGACAGUAUUUCUCAAGUGUGCUUUGGCUUUCAGAAAUAUAAAUCCAUUGCUGGAUUCUGCACUGAUGUGAACGUCUUACAGAGGAACCAUUUCUUUGCCCACGGCAGGUUUUUAAUUUGAUCUCAGUUUCAGAGAGAAAGAUGAACACACAUGCAUAUGUUAUGUAUUUGUUUUCCUUCAGAAGGAAACAUUUAAGAAUAAUUUAGUUUGCACCUCUUCUCAUCUCUCUGAAUCUCAACUUUCUUGUGAUUCUACCAUCCACUGAAGUGGGUUUUCAUUUCUUGGGUUUCUUUUUCGUAGCUUUUAGGCUUAAUGGCUUAUAUUAAAAGGCACUUAUGUUGCUAUAGGCUAGCAUGUUUCAUUGGCUGCAUUCACUCUGGCAGAAGAGUUAUAGCAGAUUCUUUAAUACAUAUAUUUUUCUUUUUUCCUAUAGAUGGACCCUCAUAGUGUUUUGACAGUUGAAAAGGAUAGGGGCUUAUUGAGCAUCUAGUUUCUCAGCUGCUCAGCUGUAUUUUUUGAGCUAUAUAUCAGCAAAAUUACCCAGCUCUCAUACAGGAGGUGUUCUUUUGCCAGAUGGUACUCUGCAGGAAACAGCAUCUUAGUUUUCUUAAAUCAGGAUUUAUAGUAAAAUAGAAUAACACUUAGAUAUGGAAGACUUAGGUUUCCUGGAUAUCUUGAGAGUCUCAAAUAUUCGUCCUUUCCCUGUCUUCAUUGCUUCCUAUUCAAUUAAGCUGAUAACAGAAUGUCUACACUGCUGUUCAAUAACUGAAGGGCACAUGCGUAGCAAUUUUCAUCGUCCUGCCUGCCCUGAGACCCAGUGGAGAGGUUCAGCUCCAAUUGCACCAUUAGCCCGGCAACUGCAGCCAAUCGUUACCAAUGAUUUUUGGUCCUCCUAAUUGUUUUUUACUUUAUCGAGCUUAUUCAGAAAUAAUGAAACUCCAUCCUUCCUUUUCUUAAAAGAUAUUUGCACAAAGUGCAGUUGCUGUUUCUUUUAUAAACUCAUCAGCAUUGCCUUAAGGAGUGCCCUUAACUAUCGAUUUUCUAGUCUAGCGAAUAGAUCUCCUAAUUCACAGAAAUACUCCAAUGCAAGAGUUUAACAAUUGGAAAAUUACAAAAGGAAGUCCCAGGGCCCUUCCAGGUUCUGCGCAGACUGAUGGUUCAGCAUCAGUCUCCCUGCUGGAAGGAGGAGACUCGGCAGGGAAAGAUACAAAUGUAAAUAAGUGCGCAGUUCCGCCUAUUUUCCAAAUUCUGCAGCUAUUUCAAAGGCCUGUCUUCUCACUUGGUUUAAAGAUAGCGCUAUUCAACAACCAUGCUGAACCAUUGUUUACAUAAAGUAUUNNNNNNNNNNNNNNNNNAGGGUACGACAAGAUCAGAGGCAUCUUGGGAACUCAGGGGCAAAGAUUCAAUCCCCACUCCGGCACAGUUGGUUAAGGAUCCCGUGUUGCCUUACUUGUGGCUUAGGUGGCAGCUGCAGCUCAGAUCUGAUCCCUAGCUGGGAAACUCCGUAGGCUGCGGGGUGGCCAAAAAAAAAAAAA
rnacentral:lncRNA from 1 species